CGUAGGGCAAGCGUUAUCCGGAAUUACUGGGUGUAAAGGGUGCGUAGGUGGUAUGGCAAGUCAGAAGUGAAAACCCAAGGGCUUAACUCUGGGACUGCUUUUGAAACUGUCAGACUGGAGUGCAGGAGAGGUAAGCGGAAUUCCUAGUGUAGCGGUGAAAUGCGUAGAUAUUAGGAGGAACAUCAGUGGCGAAGGCGGCUUACUGGACUGAAACUGACACUGAGGCACGAAAGCGUGGGGAGCAAACAGGAUU
rnacentral:rRNA from 1 species